UACGGGGGGGGCAAGCGUUGUUCGGAAUUACUGGGCGUAAAGGGCUCGUAGGCGGCCAACUAAGUCCGACGUGAAAUCCCCAGGCUUAACCUGGGAACUGCAUCCGAUACUGGAUGGCUUGAAUCCGGGAGAGGGAUGCAGAAUUCCAGGUGUAGCGGUGAAAUGCGUAGAUAUCUGGAGGAAUACCGGUGGCGAAGGCGGCAUCCUGGACCGGCAUUGACGCUGAUGAGCGAAAGCUAGGGGAGCGAACGGG
rnacentral:rRNA from 1 species